GACGUAGGUGGCGAACGUUAUCCGGAAUCAUUGGGCGUAAAGGGUGCGUAGAUGGCAUGAUAAGUUAUUAGUGGGAAAUCGAGGCUCAACCUCGUGGAAGCUAGUAAUACUGUUUUGCUUGAGUACAGAAGAGGUUAACGGAACUCCAUGUGGAGCGGUAAAAUGGGUAGAUAUAUGGAAGAACACCAAUAACGGCGAAGGCAGUUAACUAUUCUGUUACUGACAUUGAGGCACGAAAGCGUGGGGAGCAAAACGG
rnacentral:rRNA from 1 species